CCGUCAAUUCAUUUGAGUUUCAGCCUUGCGGCCGUACUUCCCAGGUGGCUCGCUUCACGGCUUCCCUACGGCACCGACAACGGUCGCACCGUGGCCGACACCUAGCGAGUAUCGUUUACGGCUAGGACUACCCGGGUAUCUAAUCCGGUUCGUGCCCCUAGCUUUCGUCCCUUGCCGUCAGGUCCGUUCUGGUGAGACGCCUUCGCCACUGGUGGUCCUUCAAGGAUUACAAGAUUUCACCCCUACCCCUGAAGUACCUCUCACCUCUCCCGGCCUCGAGCCGAACAGUAUCUCCUGAAAGCCCAACAGUUGAGCUGCUGGAUUUCUCAAGAGACUUAUCCGGCCGGCUACAGACCCUUUAGACCCAAUAAUAACGGUUACCACUCGAGCCGCCGGUGUUACCGCGGCGGCUGGCACCGGUCUUGCCCGGCCCUUGCUAUGCAAUGCUUUUUAGGCAUCACGACAGCCAGAUUUGUAACCUGGCACUCGAGGUCCCCUUAUCGCCGUUGCCGGCAUUGUAAAGUUUUCGCGCCUGCUGCCUCCCGUAGGAGU
rnacentral:rRNA from 1 species